UCCGGCUUACCACCGGCGGUCCCAUUAGAGUGCCCAACUUAAUGAUGGCAACUAAUGGCGAGGGUUGCGCUCGUUGCGGGACUUAACCCAACAUCUCACGACACGAGCUGACGACAGCCAUGCAGCACCUGUGUUCCGAUUCCCUUUCAGGCACACCCACCUCUCAGCGGGCUCCCGGACAUGUCAAGGGUAGGUAAGGUUGUUCGCGUUGCAUCGAAUUAAUCCACAUCAUCCACCGCUUGUGCGGGUCCCCGUCAAUUCCUUUGAGUUUUAACCUUGCGGCCGUACUCCCCAGGCGGCUCACUUCACGCGUUAGCUGCGGUACCAAGGAAUCGCCUCCCCAACACCCAGUGAGCAUCGUUUAGGGCGUGGACUAC
rnacentral:misc_RNA from 1 species